AGACUCCGCCCCUACUAAAGAAUUCAAGAAGACGUUCUCUUUCCUCAGCGCUUUGUUAAACAAAUUCUUGGAGAGGGCGAGAGUGGUGACUAAAGAGAGGAGCCUUUCCUCCCCUUUUGCCUGCGCUCCGGCGCGCGGAGAGCCUUUGGAAGGAAUUGGGCCAUGAGAAGAGCCCUCAUGAAUGGGAUUAGUUCCCUUAUAAGAAGAGACACCAAGGAAGUGAUCUUUCUCUGCCCUCUGCUAUGUGAAGACAAGGUCAUCUGCAGUUUUUUGUUGUUGUUGAUGAUCUUCCUGUCAUAGACAAUGCUGUAACAAACAGACUAAUUGUUCACUGUUGACAUAUAGAAGUACUACUGAUUGGCCAGACAUAGUGGCUCAUGCCUGGAAUCCCAGCACUUUGGGAGGCCAAGGCAGGUGGAUCACUUGAGCCCAGAAGUUUGAGACCAGCCUGGGCAACAUGAUGAAACCCCAUCUCUACAAAAUAAAUAGAAAAAUUAGCUGGGUAUGGUGGCAUGUGCCAGUAGUCCCAGCUACAUGGGAGCCUGAGGUGGGAGGACGACUUGAGCCCAGGAGGUGGAGGUUACAGUGAGCUGAGAUCAUGCCACUGCACUCCAGCCUGGGUGACAGAGUGGGACUCUGUCUAAAAAAAAAAUUGUAUUAUCUGUAAACGGAAAUAUAAAUAAUUUAACUUCUUCUUUUCCAA
rnacentral:lncRNA from 1 species